UAGAUAUCCAGACCGACACGUUUCGAGCGCCCUUAUACAAUUGCAGCACUAUUCCCUAGCCAGCGAACGAAGAGAGCGCCUCCCUCCCGACAAGAGAGGCCUUCUUUCCGAGCGCGACUGCUAGGGUUCCUAGCCGCCGCCACUACUGCCGGCCCUCCGCCGCGGGCCGAAGCCUCCGCGCUGCCACGCCGCCGGUAUAGGAUCCCAGCAGCGCCUCCCUCCCUGGAGCAGCCGCCGCUCCCACACAUCAACGCCGCCGCCCGGUGCAUAGGCAGGCCACGCUAGGUUCAAGAGAAAGCAGAAUCAGGGAUGGUGGCACUUCGAUAUGCGGCGAGGACACUUGGUCGAUUCACGCUCCGAAGACCACAGGGGUUCGGCAUCUCAUCGACUGCGGCAGAGGAUCAACAGCGGUUCCUGCCACGGCUCAUCAACACGAAUAUAUCAGCUCCAACGGCAGCUCCUUCGACUCCGACAGCCCCCCCGGAUGAUGACCCCUACACGGUCUUCACCAUGUACUACGGCCGUCAAGGGGAAGGGCAAGGCGCCGUGCCGGUGAAUCAUUUCCUCCUUUAGUUUCAUGGCCUCACAGCUGAGCAACAAAAAGAUGUUGCAAGCCGCCUAGUGCAAAUCGAUGGGAAGAAAGAGGAGCUGUACAAUAUGAUUUCUGGCCUUGAAAGGAGCUACAACGUUAGUGGCAAGAUAGUCCGGCAAAAUGGUCGGCUGGCGCGUCAUCUUGCUGUACUAGUCAAGCCUAAACCCAAUGACCCUUACUGGCGUUUGCAUUCAAGAUCACAAAGAAUUAUGGACUGCAUACAUUUUAUGGGGGGCUGUUGUUUAGGCCCUGUGAUUGUGAGUGGUUUUGCCUGGUGGAUGACAGAGGCACAUGCAGAAGAAAAAGAUGAUAGUCUUGGAUGAACAAGCAAAAACAGUGAAGUACUCAUGCUGUUCCUUUUCACUCCACAUAUUAGGUUUGUCUUAAGUCAAACUUAGUAUAGUUUGACCAAAUUUAUGUUAGUGUAUUUAUUUGAUAUUGUGAAUGUUGGUAUUUUUUAGCAGAAACUUGGCCAAACUUUUGAAGGUUUGACUUAAGACAAACCUAAUGUGCGGAGUAAAAAUAAACAGAGGGAGCAUGUCUUAUCUGACUGAGGAGUAAAGGUUCAAACUCUGGAAUUGUAUAUGAAUGCUGACACUUGUAUGCACCUAUUAAUGGAUGAUUACUUUGAUGAUCUA